UCCCGUUGAUCCUGCGGGAGAUUGCUGCUAUUAGGAUUCGACUAAGCCAUGCAAGUCAGGUCGCAAGACCGGCAGAAUGCUCAGUAACACGUCGAUAACCUUCCCUUAGGUCUGGGAUAACCUCGGGAAACUGAGGGUAACACCGGAUAUGGAAUUAAUUCUGGAAUGAAUAUUUCUUGAAAAGUAAUGCCUAAGGAUGGGUCGGCGGCCGAUUAGGCUGUUGGCGGGGUAAUGGCCCACCAAACCAAAGAUCGGUAGGGGCCUUGAGAGAGGUAGCCUCGAGAAGGGCACUGAGGUACUGGCCCUAGCCCUACGGGGUGCAGCAGGCGCGAAACCUUUACAAUGCACGAAAGUGUGAUAAGGGGAUCCUGAGUGCUUACACUAAGUGUAGGCUUUUGCCAAGAGUAAAAACCUUGGCGAAUAAGUGGUGGGCAAGACUGGUGCCAGCCGCCGCGGUAACACCAGCUCCACAAGUGGCGACCAUUUUUAUUGGGCUUAAAGCGUCCGUAGCCGGUCUGAAAAAUCUCUUGUGAAAUCGUUGCGCUUAACGUAACGGCGUGCAGGGGACACUCUCAGACUUGGAACCGGGAGGAGUCAGAGGUAUGUAUGGGGUAGCGGUAAAAUGUUAUAAUCCCAUGUAGACCACCUGUGGCGAAGGCGUCUGACCAGAACGGAUUCGACGGUGAGGGACGAAAGCCAGGGGAGCGAUCCGGAUUAGAUACCCGAGUAGUCCUGGCCGUAAACGCUGCGAGUUAGGUGUUGCAUAUUCUCCGGGAAUAUGCAGUGUCGGAGCGAAGGCAUUAAACUCGUCGCCUGGGGAGUACGGUCGCAAGACUGAAACUUAAAGGAAUUGGCGGGGGAGCACUACAAGGGGUGCGGCGUGCGGUUUAAUCUAAUUCAACGCAGAGAAUCUCACCAGAGGCGACGGCAGGAUGACGGUCAGUCUAAAGGGCUUACCUGACGAGCCGAGAGGUAGUGCAUGGCCGCCGCCAGCUCGUGCCGUAAGGUGUCCUGUUAAGUCAGGCAACGAGCGAGACCUGUACUCACAAUUGCUAGCGAGCGAAUUUCGUGAUCGAGCACAUUGUGAGGACUGCCCUCGAAAGGGGGAGGAAGGUGCAGGCAACGGUAGGUCUGUAUGCUCCGAAUCCUCUGGGCUACACGCGCGCAACAAUGGUAGGGACAAUGGGAUACGACUCCGAAAGGAGAAGUUAAACCUCUAAACCCUAUCCCAGUCCAGAUUGAGGGCUGUAACUCGCCCUCAUGACGACGGAAUCCCUAGUAAUCGUAAGUCAACAUCUUACGGUGAAUACGUCCCUGCUCCUUGCACACACCGCCCGUCAAACCACUCGAGCAGAGUCUAGAUGAGAUUUAGUUUUUGACUAAUGCGAAUCUAAGCUCAGUGAGAUGGGUUAAGUCGUCACAAGGUA
rnacentral:rRNA from 1 species